AUGGUGGGCGAGGCAUCGAGCUAUUCACGACGAGCAGUUUCAGAGCCCCCUAAGCACCCAUAUUUUCAUCACCAAAUUUUGGCGGAGCUAGAUCAGAUCCCAGAAAGGGGGGCACGUACCAGGGACCUGCAUGCACAAUCUAAGGACUUGCAUGUAAUGUCCAGGGGCAUGCAUGCAAUGCCCAGGGACUCACAUGAAGCAACUGCAGGUGUGGGAAAGCCAGCGCGCUGUGCAUGGCUGCCGCCGGUGGUCCACUCUGCCAAGAUUAACACAGACGGCGGGUUUUCCAAGAUAGGAGACAAAGGUGCUUCAGCUGUGGUGUGUCGCGAUAAAAACGGGAACUACCUAGGGGCCUCAGCGAUCAUUUUUGAAGGCCUUCUGGAUCCGGUGAUUCUCGAAGCACAGGCUUGUAGCGAGGCACUAGCACUCGCUUCAGAUCUACAAGUUCAGUGUAUAUGUGUGGCCACAGAUUGCCUAGAAGCUGUAUCAUGGAUCAAGGACGACUCCCCAUGCAAGUUUUACCCAAUUUUCAAGAUAUCAAGCACCAAAGAGCAGCGUUUAGUGCUGUGGAGUUUAUCCACGAGAGUCGGAAACAUAAUGGAGAGGCUCAUGCGUUAG
rnacentral:rRNA from 1 species